CAAUCUCAUAGCGGACUCCCCGGUGUUGCCCUUAUGAUCUCCCCACUCCCUCUUCAGUGUUCUGUGAGCCUUAGGUGUGGGACUUGUUUUGUAAAUGUAUCUACCGGGACUGACUGCACUCCACACCCUGACACUCUUUCCUCUACUUUUACUCAGAAUAUUUAUUUUGAAAUUCUCAUUUUAUUUCACAGGAUGGAUAUCCCAUUGAGUACUUAUUCACCUACUGAUAUAUGUUUGAGUUGUGUCCAGUUUCUUGCGCAUCAUAAUAAAGCCGUGUGUAAACCCAUGGUUAUGCUGGACUUAUUUGAGAAAGUUGCAGAGAAGAUCAAUAUUCUGAAACACAGAGAGAUGUGCAAACCCAAAGAGCUGCUACCCUGGAGAUCUGCUACCCAGAGAAACCACUGAUUGCACGACAAUUGGAUGGAGCCCUAGAUAUUCUGUUCAUGCUGAUGUCUUACCUGAGGAUCUGGAAACCUGCUUUCCUGAAGCUUCUCUCGCCAUUCCCAGAUGUUAUCCUUGUUCAGCCACACAAUGAGAUGUCACAGGUAUGGCCCUUGAAUUGCACCUUGCUUCUAAUACUUCAUUGUUCAGAUGAGAGCCACUU
rnacentral:lncRNA from 1 species